rnacentral:rRNA from 1 species
CACGUAGGGUGCGAGCGUUGUCCGGAAUUAUUGGGCGUAAAGAGCUCGUAGGCGGUGUGUCGCGUCGGCCGUGAAAACCUGCAGCUUAACUGUGGGCUUGCGGUCGAUACGGGCAUCACUGGAGUUCGGCAGGGGAGACUGGAAUUCCUGGUGUAGCGGUGAAAUGCGCAGAUAUCAGGAGGAACACCGGUGGCGAAGGCGGGUUGCUGGGCUGACACUGACGCUGAUGCGCGAAAGCUAGGGGAGC